rnacentral:rRNA from 1 species
GGGGGGGGGCGAAGCGUUGUUCGGAAUUACUGGGCGUAAAGGGCGCGCAGGCGGGCGGGAAAGGUCUCUCGUGAAAGUCCCACGGGCUCAACCGCGGAAUUGCGGGAGAUACUACUCGUCUUGAGUUCGGGAGAGGAGUGUGGAAUUCCCAGUGUAGCGGUGAAAUGCGUAGAUAUUGGGAGGAACACCGGUGGCGAAGGCGGCACUCUGGACCGAUACUGACGCUGAGGCGCGAAAGCUAGGGGAGCAAACGGGAUUAGAUACCCCGGUAGUCCUAGCUGUAAACGCUGAGCACUUGGUGUAGCGGGUAUCGACCCCUGCUGUGCCGAAGCUAACGCAUUAAGUGCUCCGCCUGGGGAGUACGGUCGCAAAGGCUG